CCACCCGCCUGGUUCCACCUGCUCCCUCCUCCAUCUUUUAUUCCCCUCCACCAACGCCCAAGGAAACCCUAGCCCUUCUCCCUCCCUCGCGCCGCCAUCUCUUUCUUCCUCCUUGUCCCGUUUUCUUCAACCACCAGAGAAACCCCCACAGCAACCACCCACCUCGCCAUGGCGCCGCCACUACAGACCCUCCCGCGCCGUUCUGAGGGCAUCGGCAGAUGCGCCUCGUCGUCCUCUACCUUCUGGUGCGCGGAAUCGUCCCGAGAGGCCCCGAGUUGAGCGCAAGGUCGCCGAUUCUUCACGCUGGACUCCAAGCUUCUUCUUCAAUUCCGGCCACCCUCGUCCUCCUCCGGCCAAACCGAGCACACCUCCGUCUUCCCCGUGCCAAGGCGCACCCCCGACGCCAACUCCCCCGCCUUGGUUCGCCCUGAAUCGUCGGAUUCGUGGUCGACUGGAUCUCGGUCCGCCAUGGCCGACCUGCCUAAGCUCCGCCUCAUCUGCUUCAAAGGGACACGCGCCCAGUUCCAUACAACAAUCUAUCAUUAGCGCAGUGAUCCGGCGCUUGAUGGGCCCCGGCCCAGAUCUAUCCAGAUCCGGCGCUUGAUGGGCCCCGGCCCAGAUCUUGUCACCAGCCUGCAUCUUCGUGCGUCCAGGUGCCUCUCGUCGCCAAGGAAGACCGGCGCCAGCCCAUGUCGACAUAGCAUUUGCUUCUUCCCGGAUAGGAUCGCGAAGUGGUGUUGUGAGAUACGACAAGUUCUCCGGAUGUUCCUCGGCGAGCUUUAACAGGCAAGCAUUUCCCCUAUACUUCUGCCUCUGCAGAAGUCGCUCACCUAUUUUAUUUUGCCUUCUCCCUCAUGCUAUCCUUAAGUUGCGUUCUUGUCACGUGUCCCUUCCACUUGUUACCUCAAGCAGCCUAUAUUGACUCCACCAAUCUCCUACAGCUAUUGUUUGGUUAUCGGGUCUGCCUUGCGAGUCGUAGUGCAUGCUAGUGCUGUUUUAUCUCGUUACCGUUGCUGUUAUCUUAUCGGGAUAUGUUGGGUUGUUGGGAGGUUAUCACAUGCUAUAUCAAUUGUUGGAGAUACACAUGCUUUACUUAAUUGUUAACAACUAAAAUUGUAAGCAGAGGCAUCUGUGAGCCCCUUUGCGAAAGCUUCGGAACUUUGACUUGCUAAUGUCCCCUAGGACCCGAGUUCUUGUUAUCUGUUUCGAGAUUGAGCGCUCUACCCGUACGUGGGGGAGUGGGACCCCCAUCACCCACUACCUUUCCUCGAGUCUGUUUAUUGGGAGCCACAACCUUGGUUUUAUUUGCCUAUGCCAUGCUUUACUUACUGUUACCUUCGGGUGUUUACUUCCUAUUGCCUUCGUGUGUUUAUAUUCUGUACUGUACCUUGCGGGACGUUUAGCGAAGCGUGUGGUUCGCACGCCUAGCCGCCGGCGCAAACCUCUGGGUCCGUAUCGGAGUACGGUCAGACUUCGUCACGGGUAGCUUAGUUGGGUGGCUCCCAUUUAAACUUUCUCUUGCAUUGGGAACGGUCUUGAUGUGAGACUCCACCUGUAGUAAGUGGGUUCGAGCAUGCGUAUGGUUACAUUUGGGCAACCCCUGCAGGGUGUACAUCUUAUCGAUAAGCCGUGUCCGCGGUUAUGGACGACUUGGAAUUGCAUAGCUUGAUCAUAGAACAACUUACACCUUUAUGUGUUGAUAAUAACUUGCUAAUAACUUGAUUAGUAUAUAGCCUUACUACAACCGUUAACUAAUAAAACUUGUCCACCGUUGAGUGCCUUUUACAUUGCCUCUUCGCAAUUGUUGGAGGGGAUAUGUGUAAUCGGCUGGGUUAUGUUUGUGUAGUAUUUUAUUUGUUACCUUAUGCGCUCUCUCACCUUCUCUGAUUAGACGAAUGUUGUAGAGUGUCUCUAUAGGUUUUUAGUGCUUGCGCUGCCGCUUAACUCCACCAUAUUGCCUAUGACGUUCCUCUUGCGUCUUCUAAGUCCCCUGCGUGCCUCAAGUACAAAGGACGACUGGUUGACGAAUGCUUAUACGUCUUGAAGUCUUUUUAAGUACGAACCCGUACUUAUUGCUGCUUCUACGGGAUAUAACCGGGCAUGUAUGAAGAUAUGUUCGAUGAAUACGACGUUAGCAAGGUUACCCUUCCGGCUUGGCCUGGGCAGGGUUAUGGACGCCACUGGUUAUCUUCAGGACUCUUAGUCCAAUUUGUAUCUUGUCCGUACUCGGACGUAUUCGAUCUUCUGUAUGAUUUGGAUCUUUGUAUUGUAUAUUUGUAUCUUGACUCGUUGGAGUCGUUGUUGUAAUAUAUGUAUCUUGUGAGCUCUAUUGUAAUCCUGUUGUAAUGUUA